ACAUGUUUAUUGUUUAAUUCCAUCCCUUCCCAUGUCCCAAGAGUCAAUCGAAUCUUUCUUUCCUCUUCAAUUUAAUUGUUUUAAUAUAAAUAUAAAAAACCUUUUUUUUUCUCGUUGGAAUUAAAUGCAGAAAAAGGUUACGGAAAGAGACUGAUGACCGAUUCGCAGUGUCGCAUGUCAUCGUCAUCUCCCAGCUUCUCUCGUUUCUGUCCACUCGAUUCGAUUCCGAUUAAGAUUAGAUUCGAGGUAAAAGAGAAAACCCUGCUCGCGCUGAAGAUAUUUCGCCUCUUUCUUUGGCGGUCGCUGUCUGAAUCAGAUUUUGGAGCUUCGGAGAUCAUCAAAGCUUUGAACUUUGCCAUAUAAACUCCAUUUGCUGGGGAAGGUUGCGAACAUUCUUGCGAAUGACGUAACAGAUCGUGGGCGAGUGGUUAAGCUUUGGGCAGGAGGUAACAUCCAACUUGAGAUCGAUUUCUGGUUGGUGGGGAGGGAGGUAAUUUCUGGGUUUAUAUGAUCCAUAUACAAAGGUUGUUUCCGAACCGGAGGUUUAACUAGUCAGCGUGCCCAAGAGGUAGCAGCUAGGGAUUCUUGCGAAUGGUUUGAUUGUAAACGCCUCUGCUUACAGAUUAGAUUUCGCUGCUCGCCAAUAUCUGAAGCAAGGAUACAUCAUUCUAAUUCACAACGUCAUUUUCUCUGUGAUUAUCAUCACGAAUCACGGUUUUGUGAAUUGCAGAACAAGACCCGACUUGAAGAAGAAGAAGGAGACAGAGAACAAGACCCGACUUGAAGAAGAAGAAGGAGACAGAGAUUGCAGAAGAGAGGAAUCCUUCUUCUGGAAUCUUGAUUGCUUUUGUGUUUUAUCCAUAGUAGUUAUUGCAAGACAAUAAUGUUACAUAUAUUGGGUUGGAUCAAUCAAAGGCUGCAACAUGUUACCCUA